GAUGAACGCUAGCUACAGGCUUAACACAUGCAAGUCGAACGAGAGAAGAUCGGUGCUUGCACUGAUCCGAUCGAGUGGCGGACGGGUGAGUAACGCGUGGGUAACCUGCCUCAUACAGGGGAAUAACAGUUGGAAACGACUGCUAAAACCGCAUAAGCGCACGGUAUCGCAUGAUACAGUGUGAAAAACUCCGGUGGUAUGAGAUGGACCCGCGUCUGAUUAGCUAGUUGGUGAGGUAACGGCCCACCAAGGCAACGAUCAGUAGCCGGCCUGAGAGGGUGAACGGCCACAUUGGGACUGAGACACGGCCCAGACUCCUACGGGAGGCAGCAGUGGGGGAUAUUGCACAAU
rnacentral:rRNA from 1 species